rnacentral:rRNA from 1 species
UACGUAGGGUGCAAGCGUUGUCCGGAAUUAUUGGGCGUAAAGAGCUCGUAGGCGGCUUGUCGCGUCGGAUGUGAAAGCCCGGGGCUUAACUCCGGGUCUGCAUUCGAUACGGGCAGGCUAGAGUUCGGUAGGGGAGAUCGGAAUUCCUGGUGUAGCGGUGAAAUGCGCAGAUAUCAGGAGGAACACCGGUGGCGAAGGCGGGUCUCUGGGCCGAUACUGACGCUGAGGAGCGAAAGCCGUGGGGAUCAAACAGG